GGAGGAAAAGAAACCAACAGGGAUUGCCUCAGUAACGGCGAGUGAAGCGGCAAAAGCUCAAAUUUUAAAGCUGACAUCUUCGGUGUCCGCGUUGUAAUUUUGUGAGGCAUCUCCGGGUAGGGCGCCGGCCUAAGUUCCUUGGAACAGGACGUCACAGAGGGUGAGAAUCCCGUGCUUGGCUGGCUGUCCCCGUCCAUGUGAGGUGUCUUCGACGAGUCGAGUUGUUUGGGAAUGCAGCUCAAAAUGGGUGGUAAAUUUCAUCUAAAGCUAAAUAUUGGUGGGAGACCGAUAGCGCACAAGUAGAGUGAUCGAAAGAUGAAAAGCACUUUGAAAAUAGAGUUAAAAAGUACGUGAAAUUGUUGAAAGGGAAGCGCUUGAGACCAGACUUCGGUAAGGGGUGAUCAGCCGUCCUUCUGGGCGGUGCACUUGCCCCCCUCCGGGCCAGCAUCGGUUGAGGCGGCGGGAUAAAGGUCCCGGGAAUGUGGCUCCUUCACGGGAGUGUUAUAGCCCGGGUGAAUGCCGCCAGCUUCGACCGAGGACCGCACCCGCAAGGGUUAGGAUGCUUGGCAUAAUGGUCUUCAGCGACCCGU
rnacentral:rRNA from 1 species